rnacentral:rRNA from 1 species
GGUGAACGCUGGCGGUAUGCCUAAGACAUGCAAGUCGCACGAACUGUUUCGGCAGUUAGUGGCGGACGGGUGAGUAACACGUGGGUGAUCUGCCCUUUAGUUUGGGAAAACCAGGGGAAACCCUGGCUAAUCCCGGAUGUGGACGCUGGUUUUGGCUGGUGUCUAAAGCUUCGGCGCUAAAGGAUGAGCCCGCGGCCCAUCAGGUAGUUGGGGGGGUAACGGCCCACCAAGCCGACGACGGGUAGCUGGUCUGAGAGGACGACCAGCCACAGGGGUA